UGAAAGCAUCAAUUAUUCAGCACUAAACUUUCUUUAUGGUCCAGCUCUCACAUUCAUAUAUGACUACUGGAAAAAUCAUAGCUUUGACUAGAUGAACCUUUGUCAGCAGUUAUUGUCUGGAGAUGCUGAUUCAGUGAGUCUGGAAUUGUGUCCUAUUACUUGUGUUUUUAUAAUUUCCCUCAGUAGAGCUCUGAAUCAGGGUGCACGAGACCCUCCAGGGAGGCUCAGAGGCCACAUUCACAUAGUGCUCCUAUUACCCUUCCCUACUCCUGACCUCUCUGCCUGGACAGCCUCUUCUGAACUCUGACCUUGCUUUAUCUUUAUCUUUGUGCCUGGUGCUGGCCUCUGAUUUUGCUCUUCUGUGGUCUAUCAUGGUCGACCCCAGGGCGUUGUCCUCUUGUCUGUGGUUCUUUCUCUCAGCUAUCACUCCUGGUUCACAGCUAAUUUUCUUGAGCACCUCUGAGAUUUGGCUUUUGACUUAAUUCUGUUUUCCAUCCUAAAUUCCCCCAAGGUAAUGCUGGCACUCUUGUGACUUCAGUAUAUCUGUUGAUGACUGUCAUUUGCUGUCCUUUCCUGCCUCGCAUUUAUGCCUUUGGUACCUACCAGCCACCCCUUUGGAUUCCCAGUAUGAUGGAGAAUUUCGGACUAUGAUGCACGGUGAGCUGGGGAUGCUAUGCUUCUCUGCAGGAGUAUCUUCCCAAAGUCAAGAUUUGAGAGAAUAAGAGAGCUGCCCAGGUCAGAGUUUGGUAACAAAUCUCCUGUUGGAUGUUCAGAAGAGGCUCCAGGUAAGUUAAUUUGGCAACAACUCCUGUCGCCAUUGGUUCCUACUGCAUUUAAUUCUCCAGUCUCUCAGAUACUAUGACUUAACAAUGUUUGUUGCGUGGAAUUAAGGCAAAUUCACAGAUCGAGGCUUUGGGGGCAUCCUUCCAAUGCUGUACAAUCAAAUUGAGUGUCAGACCUUCAGGCUAUUAAUGCUUGCCUUUCCCCUCUCUGCCCACCCUUCACCCCACCAAGAAAACCUAUUUGAAGCCCACAGAAGUUCGUUCUGAGAAUUUCAUUAUCAUUGUGCCAUUCAUAAUUCACUGCUUAACCUCUGUGGAUGGCAGCAAGUGCGGUUUUGAACAGUCCCACUGGAAUAAAAUCACGGGGUUAAUAAUCUCUGCUCUUUGUGAGUAACUGGAAAAAUGGUAUCCUGGAAACAAGGCAUUAGCAGAAAACUAUUUUUUAACCAAUUUCCAUAGAAUAGAAGAAGUCAUACAGUGACUAGAAUAAUUUCAUUGUAAAUGUUUCCCCUGACGCAUGCAAAUCUACGGGCACUGCAUUUCUGAGACUGACCACUUAAAAUGUAAAAACAGCAUUCAGCCAGAGCUGUUUGAUAAAAGUACAGCCACCUACAGCCCCUUUCCUAGCUGAAAGAGUGCAGUACACAGGACUCUGUGUUUUUCUUCAUUGUGGCACUGAGUGUAGUGGUGGUUCCAUCCCAGCAGGCAUAGAUGAGCUUCAUUGAUCUUUCUUUUAAGUGUUGAAUGGUGCUGAACGGCAUGGAGAGUCCGUAAUUGAAGAACCAUCACAAUUGGGUGGGCUUUUUGGAUGUUUCCCAGUAUUUUGAGGAAUCCUUAGGAAUAUAUGUGCUCAGUUGUGUCCGAUUCUUUGUGGCCCCAUGGACUAUAGCCUGCCAGAUUCCUCUGUCCAUGGAAUUUUCCAGGGAAGAAUACUGGAGCGUGUUGCCAUUUCCUACUCCUGGGGAUCUCCCUGAACCCUACGUGGCACAUCUCUUGUGUCUCCCGCAUUAGCAGGCAGGUUCUUUUACCACUGGGCCACCUGAAUGGUGCUGAACUGUAUGGAGUCCAUAAUUGAAUAACCAUCACAAAUUGGUGGACUUUUUGGAUGUUUCCCAGUAUCUUCAACUUGCAGUUUCAGGGAACAGAGUGGGAGACACAGGAGGACGCUCAUGGUUCCCUGAAGCUAGAUGAAAUAACAGUCUGAGUGAAAGCUGGUCAGACACAAAGUAUUUGGAGUUAUCUAGAAGUUCUCACUGAGAGAAGACGUUUCUCCCAAAGUGGGAGCCGUGAAGACAGAGGGGAACUAAGAAGGCUGUUGUGGAGGCAGGGGGAUGAACCACCAGGGUUGAGGUUCUGGGAGAUGGGCUGAGAGGCUGCAGCAGAGUACAGUGCUCUCUCGGGGCUGGGGGAGAGCUGCUGUGGCAUCAGGGGCAGCAUUCACGAGCUAGCAGUGCCUUCACCUAGGGAGAGGGGCCCUAGGGUAUCAGGUUAACCUGGCAACUGGCUGGCACUGUUGCUGAGCAACCCAGGUAGAAGGGGAAAGCGUUUGCUAAGGGAGGGAGGCUGGGAAUACGUAGAACCAUUUCCAAUCCUGGCUUACUGAGCAGGGCUGCUCCUAAGAGUCAGCUGUGGGUUUUGCUCUGUUUUUGCAGCAGGUUGCAUACAGUUGAGUUGUGUGGAUGAAUCUGCUGUUUCAAUACCUCAUGUAUAGUUAAAGCACUUGGAAGUCUGGCAGGAGCCUGGUGAAUUUUAGCUCUUACUUGGGUUCUGAAUUUCCAAUAGCCUGUUACCUGUGUUAGCCCUCGUGUUCUACUGUUGCAAGAAGCUGUGUCCAAAUGUCAUUCCUGAAUGCGUGUUUCAAGCAGAGCAUCUUAUGCCUGACCUCUCCUUCUGGGGCUUUCUCAUAUCCAUCAUCUCUCACCCCUGCUGGCUCAUCCGCUUCAGGCCCUCAUUACACACUGUCUAUCACAGUGGCCUCCUGACUGGCUUCUCUGCUUAUGGUGCUUUCCCCUCCAUUGGUUCAUCAAAGACCAAGGCUUACAGAGAACUGUUUAAACUACCACUUCAAUCAAGGUGCUUACUUUCUUCAUAACCUUUGAUGGCUCACUUUGCCCAGAGAUACCAUCACCAUGCCUGAGCUGGACAUUUAAUGGGUUCUGUGGGCUAUCUGUCCACCCCCACCUCCCUUUCUAAGCAGAUAUCUUUAAAAAAAAAAAUACUUUUGUAUCGGGCUAUAGCUGUUUAACACAGUUGUGAUAGUUUCAGGUGAACUACCUCUUAUCCUUUUCCCCAGUGCCUGUUACUUUACUUGACCCUAAUGGUGAGAAUAAAGUCUAAAAUCCAGGUCCCCAUCCCUGCCUUUCUGGUUUAUCUCAUUGCUAUUCAUCCUAUAGGACAGACAAUUUCAAAAACAAACUAAACAUCUUUAAUAAAUCAGAAUAUAUGAGUAUUGGCAUUUUCCGAGUUAAUUACCUUUCCUAUGUCAUUAAAAUUUUCUUCUUCCCUCAACCCACACUCAAAUCACAAAUACCUCAUCUGGAUUUUGUUCAUAAAAAGCCUUCCAAAUAUACCCUUCUGCUCUCUUAUCACUUGCCAAGAUGACCAAGAGACAAUGUUACUAGAACAACAUUCUGAACCUCACUGAAUAAGACUCCAGGUGGAGGAAACUUGAAACGAUUAAGCUUAAAGGGACCUGACUACCUUCAGAAUUCCUUUUCACAUCAGAUAUGUAAGCCGAAGAAUUGAUGCUUUUGAACUAUGGUGUUGGAGAAGACUCUUGAGAGUCCCUUGGACUGCAAGGAGAUCCAACCAGUCCAUCCUAAAGGAGACCAGUC